GUUGAAAUAAGUAUUCAAUCUGAGGUUUUUUAACAUUUUUUAAAAAAUGAAAAGAUACUUUAAUUGUAUAUAAGAAGGAUGUUUGGUGCCUCUACCAUGUCCCGGAAAUUUUGCUAGGUAGUAAAAAUGCAAAAAAAGAAGAUUGCCUUCCUCCAUUCUAUCAUCAUAGAAGAGUAGAAAGGGAAAGUACCUGCUUACAGGCGGCAAGAAGCAAGAGCAGGAUGGUGCCUUGCUGGAUGCUUGGAAACUGAAGUGCUGGGAGAUGAAGUGAUUUUCAGCCAUGCAACGAGGAAAAACACAAGAGACUAUCCUUGAAGUCUAUACCAACAUGUGAAACUACCAAGCCUCACACAAAGCAAGCAAGUAUCAAAUGCUGGUUCCUUUUCCCUUUUUCUGGCGCAACAACUUUACAUACCAGAGAGGUAAUUUCCAGCCAACAGAUGUACCUUCCACCAUCCCGUUCAAUCCUACAUUGGUAUUAGAGCUAAAGUCAAUAAAAGUAACGAAGAGGUGGGGGCUGGAGAGAUAGCCCAGGGGUUAAGAGUGUGUAAUGCUCUUACAGAGGACCCAGGACACAGGCUUAAGCCAAUAGAAAUCAUUAUUAGUUGGCCAGCAACUACACUGGGUGUUUGGGAUCCCAGUGUGGCCCUGAGCCUUUCUC
rnacentral:lncRNA from 1 species